rnacentral:rRNA from 1 species
GACGAACGCUGGCGGCGUGCCUAAUACAUGCAAGUCGAACGCUUCUUUCCUCCCGAGUGCUUGCACUCAAUUGGAAAGAGGAGUGGCGGACGGGUGAGUAACACGUGGGUAACCUACCCAUCAGAGGGGGAUAACACUUGGAAACAGGUGCUAAUACCGCAUAACAGUUUAUGCCGCAUGGCAUAAGAGUGAAGGGCGCUUUCGGGUGUCGCUGAUGGAUGGACCCGCGGUGCAUUAGCUAGUUGGUGAGGUAACGGCUCACCAAGGCCACGAUGCAUAGCCGACCUGAGAGGGUGAUCGGCCACACUGGGACUGAGACACGGCCCAGACUCCUACGGGAGGCAGCAGUAGGGAAUCUUCGGCAAUGGACGAAAGUCUGACCGAGCAACGCCGCGUGAGUGAAGAAGGUUUUCGGAUCGUAAAACUCUGUUGUUAGAGAAGAACAAGGACGUUAGUAACUGAACGUCCCCUGGCGGUAUCUAACCAGAAAGCCACGGCUAACUACGUG